GUGGAGGAUUGUCAGAAUGCGAACGACUGACUAGCUUGAAUUCCGAGGAGAACGGAUGCUCUUCUAGGAAACGUGCCAGAGCAGAAGUUGUUACUGGCAACUUUUUUGAUCUUAACUUGCCUGCUGAGGUUGUUGAUAGAAACUGAUCUCUGGAAGUUGCGUGGUUAUAAAGUACAGUUGUACAGAUCUGACAUAAAACAUUAGCUUCGUUAGCAUGGGGACAGGCAAUCGAG
rnacentral:misc_RNA from 1 species